CUCUUAUCCCGAGCUGGUGGAGGGACAGGCCCAAUGAAACCCGGCAACCGACAUUCUAUAGUUAGUGAUUUGGAAGUUAGAAAGAGAAGCAGGUUUUGCUCCUCAAAAUUCUAACCUCUUACUUCUAACAGCUAGGACGCACGGUGCUAACCUGAGGCAAGGUAAAAUCCUUGAACGAUAAGAG
rnacentral:ncRNA from 2 species